rnacentral:rRNA from 1 species
GACUGGGAUAACUCCGGGAAACCGGGGCUAAUACCGGAUGGAACAUUUUGAACUGCAUGGUUCGAAAUUGAAAGGCGGCUUCGGCUGUCACUUAUGGAUGGACCCGCGUCGCAUUAGCUAGUUGGUGAGGUAACGGCUCACCAAGGCAACGAUGCGUAGCCGGAACCUGAGAGGGUGAUCGGCCACACUGGGACUGAGACACGGCCCAGACUCCUACGGGAGGCAGCAGUAGGGAAUCUUCCGCAAUGGACGAAAGUCUGACGGAGCAACGCCGCGUGAGUGAUGAAGGCUUUCGGGUCGUAAAACUCUGUUGUUAGGGAAGAACAAGUGCUAGUUGAAUAAGCUGGCACCUUGACGGUACCUAACCAGAAAGCCACGAGGCUAACUACGUGCCAGCAGCCGCGGUAAUACGUAGGUGGCAAGCGUUAUCCGGAAUUAUUGGGCGUAAAGCCGCGCGCAGGUGGUUUCUUAAGUCUGAUGUGAAAGCCCACGGCUCAACCGUGGAGGGUCAUUGGAAACUGGCGAGACUUGAGUGCAGAAGAGGAAAGUGGAAUUCCAUGUGUAGCGGUGAAAUGCGUAGAGAUAUGGAGGAACCACCAGUGGCGAAGGCGACUUUCUGGUCUGUAACUGACACUGAGGCGCGAAAGCGUGGGGAGCAAACAGGAUAAUAGAUACCCAAA